GAUGAACGCUGGCGGCGUGCCUAAUACAUGCAAGUCGAGCGAACAGACGAGGAGCUUGCUCCUUCGACGUUAGCGGCGGACGGGUGAGUAACACGUAGGUAACCUACCUAUAAGACUGGGAUAACUUCGGGAAACCGGAGCUAAUACCGGAUAAUAUUUCGAACCGCAUGGUUCGAUAGUGAAAGAUGGCUUUGCUAUCACUUAUAGAUGGACCUGCGCCGUAUUAGCUAGUUGGUAAGGUAACGGUUUACCAAGGCAACGAUACGUAGCCGACCUGAGAGGGUGAUCGGCCACACUGGAACUGAGACACGGUCCAGACUCCUACGGGAGGCAGCAGUAGGGAAUCUUCCGCAAUGGGCGAAAGCCUGACGGAGCAACGCCGCGUGAGUGAUGAAGGUCUUCGGAUCGUAAAACUCUGUUAUUAGGGAAGAACAAACGUGUAAGUAACUGUGCACGUCUUGACGGUACCUAAUCAGAAAGCCACGGCUAACUACGUG
rnacentral:rRNA from 1 species